GGGGAAUAUUGGGCAAUGGGCGAAAGCCUGACGGAGCAAUGCCGCGUGAGUGAUGAAGGGAUUCGUCCCGUAAAGCUCUGUUGUCUAUGACGAAUGUGCAUGUUGUGAACAAUGACGUGUAAUGACGGUAGUAGACGAGGAAGCCACGGCUAACUACGUGCCAGCAGCCGCGGUAAUACGUAGGUGGCGAGCGUUGUCCGGAAUUAUUGGGCGUAAAGAGCAUGUAGGCGGUUUUUUAAGUCUGGAGUGAAAAUGCGGGGCUCAACCCCGUAUGGCUCUGGAUACUGGAAGACUUGAGUGCAGGAGAGGAAAGGGGAAUUCCCAGUGUAGCGGUGAAAUGCGUAGAUAUUGGGAGGAACACCAGUGGCGAAGGCGCCUUUCUGGACUGUGUCUGACGCUGAGAUGCGAAAGCCAGGGUAGCGAACG
rnacentral:rRNA from 1 species